rnacentral:rRNA from 1 species
UACGUAGGGGGCAAGCGUUGUCCGGAUUUAUUGGGCGUAAAGAGCGUGUAGGCGGCCAGACAGGUCCGUUGUGAAAACUCGAGGCUCAACCUCGAGACGCCGAUGGAAACCGUCUGGCUAGAGUCCGGAAGAGGAGAGUGGGAAUUCCUGGUGUAGCGGUGAAAUGCGCAGAUAUCAGGAAGAACACCCGUGGCUAAGGCGACUACCUGGCCUGUUCUUGACGCUGAGGCGCGAAAGCUAGGGGAGCAAACGGG